UACGAAGGGGGCUAGCGUUGUCCGGAAUUAUUGGGCGUAAAGCGAACGUAGGCGGUUUCUUAAGAUUGGUCUUAAAGACCGGGGCUCAACCCCGGGAAUGGAUCGAUAACUGGGAGACUGGAGGACGUCAGAGGAAAGUGGAAUUCCGAGUGUAGCGGUGAAAUGCGUAGAUAUUCGGAGGAACACCAGUGGCGAAGGCGGCUCUCUGGGACGGUACUGACGCUGAGACGCGAAAGCGUGGGGAGCGAACAGG
rnacentral:rRNA from 1 species